rnacentral:rRNA from 1 species
UACGUAGGGUCCGAGCGUUGUCCGGAAUUACUGGGCGUAAAGAGCUCGUAGGUGGUUUGUCGCGUUGUUCGUGAAAACUCACAGCUCAACUGUGGGCGUGCGGGCGAUACGGGGCAGACUAGAGUACUGCAGGGGAGACUGGAAUUCCUGGUGUAGCGGUGGAAUGCGCAGAUAUCAGGAGGGAACACCCGGUGGGCGAAGGCGGGGUCUCUGGGC